rnacentral:rRNA from 1 species
UACAGAGGUGCCAAGCGUUAGGCGGAAUCACUGGGCUUAAAGCGCGUGUAGGCGGGUCGUUAAGUGUCCGCGUGAAAUCCCACGGCUCAACCGUGGAACUGCCGGGCAUACUGGCGAUCUUGAGGCAUUCAGGGGCGAGCGGAACAAAUGGUGGAGCGGUGAAAUGCGUAGAUAUCGGGAGGAACACCGGUGGCGAAGGCGGCCAUCUGGACCGGCACUGCCGCUGAGGCGCGAAAGCGUGGGGAGCAAACAGG